UACAUAGGUCGCAAGCGUUAUCCGGAAUUAUUGGGCGUAAAGCGUACGUAGGCGGUUUAGUAAGUUUGAAGUUAAAGCCCGAGGCUCAACCUCGGCCCGCUUUGGAUACUGCUAGACUAGAAUUAUUCAGAGGUUUAUGGAACUCCAUGUGAAGCGGUGGAAUGCGUAGAUAUAUGGAAGAACACCAAUUAGCGAAGGCAGUAAACUGGGAAUUAAUUGACGCUGAGGUACGAAAGCGUGGGGAGCAAACAGG
rnacentral:rRNA from 1 species